AGUGGGGAAUAUUGCGCAAUGGAGGAAACUCUGACGCAGCCAUGCCGCGUGAGUGAAGAAGGCCUUCGGGUUGUAAAACUCUUUCAACGGUGAAGAUGAUGACGGUAACCGUAGAAGAAGCACCGGCUAACUUCGUGCCAGCAGCCGCGGUAAUACGAAGGGUGCUAGCGUUGUUCGGAAUUACUGGGCGUAAAGGGCGUGUAGGCGGACAUAUCAGUCAGGGGUGAAAUCCCGGGGCUCAACCCCGGAACUGCCUUUGAUACUGUAUGUCUAGAAUCUGUGAGGGGAUAGUGGAAUAUCAAGUGUAGAGGUGAAAUUCGUAGAUAUUUGAUGGAACACCAGUGGCGAAGGCGACUAUCUGGCACAGUAUUGACGCUGAGGCGCGAAAGCGUGGGGAGCAAA
rnacentral:rRNA from 1 species